rnacentral:miRNA from 1 species
CUGGCUCCCGGUCGUGCGCGCGGCCGGUCACCGGUUCCUGCCGCCGGGGCCGGGGCCGGGGCCGAGCCCUCUG